rnacentral:rRNA from 1 species
UACGUAGGUGGCAAGCGUUGUCCGGAUUUAUUGGGUUUAAAGGGUGCGUAGGCGGUCCCAUAAGUCAGUGGUGAAAUACUCUAGCUUAACUAGAGGGGUGCCAUUGAUACUGUGGGACUUGAGUAGAGUUGAAGUGGGCGGAAUUGACGGUGUAGCGGUGAAAUGCUUAGAUACUGGGAGGAACACCAGUGGCGAAGGCGGCUACCUGGACCGGUUCUGACGCUGAUGCGCGAAAGCGUGGGUAGCAAACAGG